AGGAUAAAAUGAAAACUUCGGUCAAUCACUUUUCAGUAACCUAUGAAAAAUAUUAGACACCGCUUUCUUGAGAACACAAACUGCGAAAUAGCGAAUACGAAGGUAGAGCAACGACUAAAUUACUGUUUGAACAAAGGAAACGUUAAAAAUAAGUCUUUUCUUCUCCUGCCAAUUACAUUUACUAUAAAGUUCGCAUAAACUCAAGCACCUGCAGCUGACAUCGCAACGCAAUAAAAAUAAACGUUCAAAUUUAAAAGCUAAAUUAUAUGAUAAAGCAUUAAAUAUAUGUUCAUAAAUAUUUUGAUCACGGAAUUUUAAAAAAGCGAACUUAGGAUUAUCUUUCAAAACAAGGGUGAUUUUAUAAUCGCUCAUUUACUGACCAUCCGUAUUUAAAAAUACAAACAAGGUCAACGAGUAAUUAAUUUUGUAAUCAACAAUUCAAUGCGUACAUACUGUAUCUUUUCAAUUAUAUUUUAGUAAAAUUUGUGGUAAAGCGCCGACUGAAGGUAUCAACGAAGUAAUAGACACCAAAGGAGAUCAAAUAAAGGAAUAGUCACUUCACAAAUUAAGCAUCCAAGAUAAUCAAAGGAGUCACUACGAAACAGUUUUCAGCGAUUAUGUUUUGAAAGUAGUGGGCUUUUGAAGAAACGAUCGAUAAAGUCGCGAAUGUGUUGCUGGAUCAGAUGAAACUGGCAACACGUGUUGUUUCUUAAGCUGCAUCUACAGAAUCUGUGUUACGUGAAUUCAUCUCCUCCUUCCUUUGUCCCUAUUCCCCUUCCUUCUUUCAACCUUGUUGCUGUCCAUCUCUAUUGCACACCUUCGUUUACACACGAUGUUUAUAGGCGAACGUUUUCACCUAGAUUCAUGACGACAAACUCGCCAAAAAUAACCACGAGUACCUAAUCAUCUCUCAGUUUUCUCCUUCUGUUUUGACUUUUCUCCAAAGCUAAUAUCUCUCCUUCGAGGAUCCUGAGUUGAAAAAAAAUAAUUCUUAAUGAUAAAAAUGACGCAAAUGCUGAAUACUGAUUACAGUAACAUGUGACAGGAAUGUAAUGGGUCAAGUUGAACCUAUUUGAGAAGUUUACGCGACGCAAAAGCGUAGGCAGUUAAAUCACGCACUGUCAUGCCUGAUAUGGAUAUGCAUAGAUCAGCCAAGGUUCGAUCAAGGAAGAGAUACCUACGCAUGUAUUGGACCAUUACACGAUCUUUAAUGUAAUAUUAUGCACGAUAAACAAGCGAUUUCCGCGUAACCUGUACUCUAAGAGAAAAACAUGUAUAAAUUAUAUCCAGAUGCAUAUCCUAA